UACGUAGGGAGCAAGCGUUGUCCGGAAUCAUUGGGCGUAAAGCGCGCGUAGGUGGCUUCGUAAGUCCGUUGUGAAAGUCAAAGGCUCAACCUUUGAAAGCCGAUGGAUACUGCGGAGCUAGAGUACGGAAGAGGCGAGUGGAAUUCCUGGUGUAGCGGUGGAAUGCGCAGAUAUCGGGGAGGAACACCAGUAGCGAAGGCGGCACUCUGGGCCGGUACUGACGCUGAGGAGCGAAAGCGUGGGGAGCAAACAGG
rnacentral:rRNA from 1 species